GUGGCGAAAGGGUGAGUAAUAAAUGGAUAACCUACCCUCCAGAUCGGGAUAAUCCAUCGAAAGGUGGGGUAAUACCGGAUGGUCUGGCAGUCUUAUCAGUCUGUCAGUAAAGGUUGCUUCGGCAUCUGCUGGAGGAGGGGUUCAUUUCCUAUUAGCUUGUUGGUAAGGUAAUGGCUUACCAAGGCAUAGAUGGGUAGGGGGCCUUAGCGGGUGAUCCCCCACACUGGGACUGAGACACUGACCAGGUUCCUACAGGAGGCUGCAAUCGAGAAUCCUCCGCAAUGGGCGAAAGCCUAACGGAGUGACGCCGCAUGGACGAUGAAGGCCUAUCAGGUUGUAAAGUCCUAACAGGGAGUAUGAAAACCGGCGGGUCCAAUAGGCCCGUAGAUUGACGUCAAUCCCAGAUGAAGUCACGGCUAAAUAUGUGCCAGCAGACGCGGUAAGACAUAUGUGGCGAGCGUAAGACGGAAUUACUGGGCUUAAAGCGCGCGUAAGCGGUUCAGACAGUUAAUUUGGAAAUCCCCCGGCUUAACCGGGGAAUCGCGGUUAAUACUGCUGAACUCGAGUACAAGAGGGGAGAGUGGAAUUCUGGGUGUACCGGUGGAAUGCGAAGAUAUCCAGGAGAAGGCCGGUGGCGAAAGCGACUCUCUGGCUUGAUACUGACGCUGAGGUGCGAAAGCGUAGGUAGCGAACGGGAUUAGAUACCCCGGUAGUCUACGCUGUAAAUGAUGGGCACUGGAUGGUGGAGGCGCUGAUAGCUUUCUCCGUCGAAGCAAAUGCGUUAAGUGCCCCGCCUGGGGAGUACGGUCGCAAGAUUAAAACUCAAAGGAAUUGACGGGGGCCCACACAAGCGGUGGGGGAUGCGGCUUAAUUCGAGGACACGCGUAAAACCUUACCGAGGUUUGACAUGUAGGGAUUAAUCCGGUGAAAGCCGGAGGAUUGCCUUACGGUGUAACCUACACAGGUGCUGCAUGGCUGUCGACAGUUCGUGUCGUGAGAUGUUAGGUUAAGUCCUGAAACGAGCGAAACCCCUGUGCUUAAUUGCCAGCGCGUUAUGGCGGGGACAUUAGGCAGACUGCCUCGGCUAACGGGGAGGAAGGUGGGGACGACGUCAAGUCAGCAUGGCCCUUGUACCUCGGGCUGCACGCGUCCUACAAUGGGCAGUACAAACAGGACCGAUCCCGCGAGGGGGAGGAAAUCUCUAAAGCUGCUCUCAGUUCGGAUUGCAGGCUGAAACCCGCCUGCAUGAAGGUGGAAUCGCUAGUAAUCGCCGGUCAGCUAUACGGCGGUGAAUCCGUCCCUGGGCAUUGUACACACCGCCCGUCAAGCCACCCGAGUUGGGCGCACUCGAAGUCCGAGACUCAACCGUUUACGGAGAGAUCGGCCGAA
rnacentral:rRNA from 1 species